rnacentral:rRNA from 1 species
CCUACGGGAGGCAGCAGUGAGGAAUAUUGGUCAAUGGGCGGAAGCCUGAACCAGCCAAGUAGCGUGCAGGAUGACGGCCCUACGGGUUGUAAACUGCUUUUAUACGGGAAUAACGCGCCUUACGUGUAGGGCUUUGCAUGUACCGUAUGAAUAAGGACCGGCUAAUUCCGUGCCAGCAGCCGCGGUAAUACGGAGGAUCCGGGCGUUAUCCGGAUUUAUUGGGUUUAACGGGGGCGUAGGCCGCAGGUCAAGUUUGCUGUGAAAUUUCCGGGCUCAACCCGGGCCUUGCAUCGCGAACUGGUGGGCUUGAGUGUGCGGACAGCAGGCGGAAUGCGUCGUGUAGCGGUGAAAUGCUUAGAUAUGACGAAGAACCCCGAUUGCGAAGGCAGCUUGCUGCAGCGGAACUGACGCUGAUGCUCGAAAGCGUGGGUAUCGAACAGGAUUAGAUACCCUUGUAGUC